GACUGCACAAAGGUAGCAUAAUCAUUUGUCAUUUGAUUGAUGGCUAGGAUGAAAGGUUGGAUGAGAAAUAUACUUUCUUUGGUUUAUAUAAUUGAACUUGAUUUUUAUGUUAAAAAGCAUAAAUAUAUUUGGGGGACGAGAAGACCCUAUAGAACUUUAUAUUUAGAAUAUAUAAUUCUUUUGGUAAAUGAUAUAUUUAUGGUAUUUUAUGGUAUUUCGUUGGGGUGAUGGUAAAAAAUUCAAAACUUUUAUUUUUUCGAUCAUAUAUAAAUGUUAAUGGUCCAUAUUAUUGAUUAUAAGAUUAAGUUACCUUAGGGAUAACAGCGUUAUUAUCUCGAAGAGUUCUUAUCGAUGGGUUAGAUUGCGACCUCGAUGUUGGAUUAAAUUUAGGUGGCAGGGGUAGGUUUUUGCUAAUUAGGUCUGUUCGACCUUUAAAUUUUUACA
rnacentral:rRNA from 1 species